rnacentral:lncRNA from 1 species
GUCAUUUCCUUUACGUACUUGAAGUCCAGACACAAAAUCAUCAGGAAGAAGAAUGGUCAUACCACCAGGGUCAGAGUGAGGGGAUAGCCCUAAAGUAAGGUCAGGUUGUGGGCACUUUGGGUAGAAAUUCACCCUUAGACAAGCACCAAGCUCAUUUUCUCCUCCAAAUGCAUUCAUAAGGUAAUCUUCUUUCAAACCAAGGUUUGUUGACAUCAGUUCCAACAUCCUUCCUCCUAGCUUUACCACUUCUUCACCAUAUUCAGCAAUUAUUUUCCUAUUA